rnacentral:rRNA from 1 species
UAGGGAAUCUUCGGCAAUGGACGAAAGUCUGACCGAGCAACGCCGCGUGAGUGAAGAAGGUUUUCGGAUCGUAAAACUCUGUUGGUAGAGAAGAACGUUGGUGAGAGUGGAAAGCUCAUCAAGUGACGGUAACUACCCAGAAAGUGACGGCUAACUACGUGCCGG